rnacentral:rRNA from 1 species
GAACGAUGAUGCUGGUGCUUGCACUGGUGGAUUAGUGGCGAACGGGUGAGUAACACGUGAGUAACCUGCCCCUGACUUCGGGAUAAGCCCGGGAAACUGGGUCUAAUACCGGAUAUGACUUCCUGCUGCAUGGCAGGGGGUGGAAAGAUUUAUCGGUUGGGGAUGGACUCGCGGCCUAUCAGCUUGUUGGUGAGGUAAUGGCUCACCAAGGCGACGACGGGUAGCCGGCCUGAGAGGGCGACCGGCCACACUGGGACUGAGACACGGCCCAGACUCCUACGGGAGGCAGCAGUGGGGAAUAUUGCACAAUGGGCGAAAGCCUGAUGCAGCGACGCCGCGUGAGGGAUGACGGCCUUCGGGUUGUAAACCUCUUUCAGUAGGGAAGAAGCGAAAGUGACGGUACCUGCAGAAGAAGCGCCGGCUAACUACGUGCCAGCAGCCGCGGUAAUACGUAGGGCGCAAGCGUUGUCCGGAAUUAUUGGGCGUAAAGAGCUCGUAGGUGGCUUGUCGCGUCUGCCGUGAAAACCCGAGGCUCAACCUCGGGCGUGCGGUGGGUACGGGCAGGCUAGAGUGUGGUAGGGGAGACUGGAACUCCUGGUGUAGCGGUGAAAUGCGCAGAUAUCAGGAAGAACACCGGUGGCGAAGGCAGGUCUCUGGGCCAU